GAUGAAGAACGUAGCGAAAUGCGAUACUUGGUGUGAAUUGCAGAAUCCCGUGAACCAUCGAGUCUUUGAACGCAAGUUGCGCCCGAAGCCACUAGGCCGAGGGCACGCCUGCCUGGGCGUCACACGCCGUUGCCCCCCCAUCUACUCCUUCGGGAUUGCGGGGGGGCGGAUGAUGGCCUCCCGUGCGCCUAGCCGCGCGGUUGGCAUAAAUACCAAGUCCUCGGCGACGCACGCCACGACAAUCGGUGGUUGCGAAACCUCGGUUGCCCGUCGUGUGCGUUCGUCGCGCAUCGAGGGCUCGAAAAAAUGCUCGGCUCCGGCUGGGCUUUCAACGCGACCCCAGGUCAGGCGGGGUUACCCGCUGAAUUUAAGCAUAUCAUAAGCGGGGA
rnacentral:misc_RNA from 1 species